UGAGACUCCACUGGAAAACAUGAAUUUU
rnacentral:piRNA from 1 species